GACGAACGCUGGCGGCGUGCCUAAUACAUGCAAGUCGAGCGGACUUGAUGGAGAGCUUGCUCUCCUGGGAGUUAGCGGCGGACGGGUGAGUAACACGUAGGCAACCUGCCCUCAGGACUGGGAUAACUACCGGAAACGGUAGCUAAUACCAGAUAAUUCACUUCUUCGCAUGGAGAAGUGAGGAAAGACGGAGUAAUCUGUCACCGGAGGAUGGGCCUGCGGCGCAUUAGCUAGUUGGAGAGGUAACGACUCCCCAAGGCGACGAUGCGUAGCCGACCUGAGAGGGUGAUCGGCCACACUGGGACUGAGACACGGCCCAGACUCCUACGGGAGGCAGCAGUAGGGAAUCUUCCGCAAUGGGCGAAAGCCUGACGGAGCAACGCCGCGUGAGUGAUGAAGGUUUUCGGAUCGUAAAGCUCUGUUGCCAAGGAAGAACGUCCUUAAGAGUAACUGCUUAAGGAGUGACGGUACUUGAGAAGAAAGCCCCGGCUAACUACGUGCCAGCAGCCGCGGUAAAAC
rnacentral:rRNA from 1 species